GAAGUAUGAUGCUCAAGUAAAAGCUGCUAACUUUUUUCUUUUAAUGGUUAAAAUCCAUUUAUACUUCU
rnacentral:tRNA from 1 species